CAAGCUUCGGUACAUUGUUUUGGAUCAGUAGUGCUUUGAAAACUACGUCGGAACUCCGGUAUCAAUCAUCCCAUCACUCGGUCUAUCCAUAGGUGUGUAUCCUGACUGUGGGAAAUUUCCCCCCAAAUUAUUGCCUGCAAUAUUCAACAACAGAUUACAUUAGUGUUACUCAAAUCUUGCAGAUGUUGGUGGACUGUAUAUUCUUCAGAUUACGUUUUACUUUAUGUGUUUGCUCCCGUGUGCUGGUAAGGGCACAGAUGAGACAGGACUACCUGGUAUGAUGACUCCUUGCUGUCCCCAGUCCACCUGGCCGUGCUGCUGCUCCAGUUUCAACUGUUCUGCCUGCGGCUAUGGAACCCUGACCUGUUCACCGGACGUGCUUGUUGCACCCUUGACAACUAUUAUGAUUAUUAUUAUUUGACCAUGCUGGUCAUUUAUGAACAUUUUAACAUUUUAACAUCUUGACCAUGUUCUGUUAUAAUAUCCACCCUGCACAGCCAGAAGAGGACUGGCCACCCCUCAUAGCCUGGUUCCUCUCUAGGUUUCUUCCUAGGUUUUUGGCCUUUUCUAGGGAGUUUUUCCUAGGGAGUUUUUCCUAGCCACCGUGCUUCUUUCACAUGUUUUGCUUGCUGUUUGGGGUUUUAGGCUGGGUUUCUGUACAGCACUUUGAGAUAUCAGCUGAUGUACGAAGGGCUAUAUAAAAAUAAAUUUGAUUUGAUUUGAUUUGAUAUGGAACAAUGGGUCAAUAUUACACAGAAACAAGAUGUUAUUUAAUCAUAAAUGGUUCUCGAAAAACAUUGUACUUGUCAGCCAAUUAGUUAAUAUUAGUGGGAAUCUAUUUACACGGAGAGAAUUUAUGGAAAGAUACAACUUUGAAGUUUCAAGCAAGGAUUAUGUCACUGUUAUUAAAGCUAUACCUAGUGGGAUAAAAACUUUACUUCAGAAUAAUGCAUAUUUUGGAAUAUCUCCGAUUGUAAGAGAUAUCCAGGUGAAUGGCAUUGGUCUACUAGAUACAAAUUCAACAAUCGUUCAUUAAGGGAUAUUUUCUACAGGAAGUCUAUUCCCUCUGCGAUAUUUUGUUGGGCUUCAUCGUUUGAUGUAAACUGGCGCCGUGCUUGGCUCACUCCACACAAAUUUAUGGUGACCAAUAAAGCAAAGGAGAUCUCCUUUAAGAUUAUCCAUAGAUUCUAUCCGUGUAAUAGCUUGAUUUCUAAGUAUAUACCUGAUGUUACCACUGAAUGCAGUUUUUGUGAACCAGAAACUGAAUCUUUUGAACACUUAUUCUGUCAUUGUUUAUAUAGUGAAGUGUUCUGGACUGAUGUAAAACUAUAUCUUGGCCUCAAAUUGCAUACAACCAUUGAAAUGUCUAAGUUUGACAUAUUAUUUUAC
rnacentral:lncRNA from 1 species